AGCUUUGAAAUAUCGGUUUCCAUAUGAUCACCGAAGUUAAGCAACGUCAGUACCUAGAUGGUUGACCUCUUGGGAAUACCAGGUGCUGUAAG